rnacentral:rRNA from 1 species
CUCAUAUUGAACGCUGGCGGCAGGCCUAACACAUGCAAGUCGAACGGUAACAGGAAGCAGCUUGCUGCUUUGCUGACGAGUGGCGGACGGGUGAGUAAUGUCUGGGAAACUGCCCGAUGGAGGGGGAUAACUACUGGAAACGGUAGCUAAUACCGCAUAACGUCGCAAGACCAAAGAGGGGGACCUUCGGGCCUCUUGCCAUCGGAUGUGCCCAGAUGGGAUUAGCUAGUAGGUGGGGUAACGGCUCACCUAGGCGACGAUCCCUAGCUGGUCUGAGAGGAUGACCAGCCACACUGGAACUGAGACACGGUCCAGCCUCCUACGGGAGGCAGCAGUGGGGAAUAUUGCACAAUGGGCGCAAGCCUGAUGCAGCCAUGCCGCGUGUAUGAAGAAGGCCUUCGGGUUGUAAAGUACUUUCAGCGGGGAGGAAGGGAGUAAAGUUAAUACCUUUGCUCAUUGACGUUACCCGCAGAAGAAGCACCGGCUAACUCCGUGCCAGCAGCCGCGGUAAUACGGAGGGUGCAAGCGUUAAUCGGAAUUACUGGGCGUAAAGCGCACGCAGGCGGUUUGUUAAGUCAGAUGUGAAAUCCCCGGGCUCAACCUGGGAACUGCAUCUGAUACUGGCAAGCUUGAGUCUCGUAGAGGGGGGUAGAAUUCCAGGUGUAGCGGUGAAAUGCGUGGAGAUCUGGAGGAAUACCGGUGGCGAAGGCGGCCCCCUGGACGAAGACUGACGCUCAGGUGCGAAAGCGUGGGGAGCAAACAGGAUUAGAUACCCUGGUAGUCCACGCCGUAAACGAUGUCGACUUGGAGGUUGUGCCCUUGAGGCGUGGCUUCCGGAGCUAACGCGUUAAGUCGACCGCCUGGGGAGUACGGCCGCAAGGUUAAAACUCAAAUGAAUUGACGGGGGCCCGCACAAGCGGUGGAGCAUGUGGUUUAAUUCGAUGCAACGCGAAGAACCUUACCUGGUCUUGACAUCCACGGAAGUUUUCAGAGAUGAGAAUGUGCCUUCGGGAACCGUGAGACAGGUGCUGCAUGGCUGUCGUCAGCUCGUGUUGUGAAAUGUUGGGUUAAGUCCCGCAAUGAGCGCAACCCUUAUCCUUUGUUGCCAGCGGUCCGGCCGGGAACUCAAAGGAGACUGCCAGUGAUAAACUGGAGGAAGGUGGAGAUGACGUCAAGUCAUCAUGGCCCUUACGACCAGGGCUACACACGUGCUACAAUGGCGCAUACAAAGAGAAGCGACCUCGCGAGAGCAAGCGGACCUCAUAAAGUGCGUCGUAGUCCGGAUUGGAGUCUGCAACUCGACUCCGUGAAGUCGGAAUCGCUAGUAAUCGUGGAUCAGAAUGCCACGGUGAAUACGUUCCCGGGCCUUGUACACACCGCCCGUCACACCAUGGGAGUGGGUUGCAAAAGAAGUAGGUAGCUUAACCUUCGGGAGGGCGCUUACCAC